rnacentral:rRNA from 1 species
UAAGGGCUAGUUUUGUGGGCAAAAGCGUAAAGGGUGUGAUAGGCCGUUUUAAUUAAAAAGGGUUUUAUAAUUUAAGAAGGUAAAUGGAAUUUUUUUGUAGCGGUGGAAUGUGUAAAUAGAAAAAAGAACUUUAGACGUGAAGACUAUUUAUUUUUGAGAUUAUAGUGUGAUGGCUAAAACACGAGAGUAUGGGGAGCAAACAGGAUUAGGGACCCUGGUAGUCUAUACUGUAAAUAAUGAAAAAGAUGUGAAGCAAUCCUAAAAAGUCAGAAAUUUUCCGCUUGAGUAGUACGACCGCAAGGUUAAAAUUCAAAAAACUUGGCUGUUCACUGUUUUAAUUAGAGGAGCGUGUCGUUUAAUUCGAUAGUCCGCGAGAGACCUUACCCAAACUUGAAUCCUUCAUUGACAGGU